UACAGCAGAUGAUGGGACCUGCUUGGACAAUAAUGACAUCAGCUGCCGCUACAAACUCGGAAAGCAGCUUGGUGAAGGAGGUUUCGGCUCCGUGUAUGAGGGGAUUCGCAUACAGGAUGGUCUGCAGGUGGCAGUUAAAUUUGUCCAGAAGACACCAAAUAUGCAAGAUGUCAG